rnacentral:rRNA from 1 species
AUAAUGGAGAGUUUGAUCCUGGCUCAGGACGAACGCUGGCGGCGUGCCUAAUACAUGCAAGUCGAGCGGAACCGGAAGAGCUUGCUCUUCUGGUUUAGCGGCGGACGGGUGAGUAACACGUGGGCAACCUGCCCUGCAGAUCGGGAUAACUCCGGGAAACCGGUGCUAAUACCGAAUGGUUUCUGGUCCCGCCUGGGACCGGACGGAAAGACGGUUU